GAGAUAAUGGAAGUGAGAGAGAAAGAGAAAGAAAAGAGAAGAGAUGGGGGAAGUAAUGGCUGAAUGGCAGUCGGAGAAGAAAGACUCAUACAGAGGAAGAAAAAAAAUAAACGCGAACACAACUAUCCUACACAAUUAACAUGUGCUGUUUCCUAUACACUCGCUCAUUCUUAAUGUUACACACUACACACUCGCUCAUUCUCAAUGUUACACACUACACACUCGCUCAUUCUCAAUGUUACGCACUACACACUCGCUCAUUCUCAAUGUUAAGCACUACACACUCGCUCAUUCUCAAUGUUAAGCACUACACACUCGCUCAUUCUCAAUGUUAAGCACUACACACUCGCUCAUUCUCAAUGUUAAGCACUACACACUCGCUCAUUCUCAAUGUUAAACACUACACACUCGCUCAUUCUCAAUGUUAAACACUACACACCUGGAGCUUCAUAUCUAUACACAAUAUGUUUACUCCAUGCCAGAUUGUACACUAUUGCAUAACAACACACACAUCACAGCACACGCCAACCCCACACAUUUAAAGACACAUCUACACCCAAACAAGACAUUUACCUGCACACUCACCUUCAAACACAUUGGAGCUAGCACGCUACUCACUGGCAAACACAUACACACUAGUUCCCCCCAUGGUGAGCUGAUCUAACUCUGAAACUUUUAUGCAAGCGCUUGAAAACACCCGCCUGUUCAUCACCUGGUAUGCAUGUUUUAUUCUUCAGACCAAGAUGUAGCCUGAGAAUCAAUUUGUUAAACAGGUUUAAUCGACCUGGCAACGAGCCAAUGGUCUAAACUGCCCACAGGUUUCGACGUAGCAGGUCAGUGAUGAGGCUUUCUAUAACGCUAAGUCUCGGUGGAAGUGGCCUGCGACUGAUCUUUGUGGAUACAAAUUGAUGCACUACAGGGGGAUUGGUGAGGGGCAUCUAAGUCUUAAUAAGUACUGAUUGUAGGAACUGAUAGUAAAUACUGAUAGUAAGUGCUGAUUGAAAGAACUGAUAGUAAGUAUUGAUAGUAAGUGCUGAUUGUAAGAGCUGAUAGUUAGUACUGAUAGUAUGUACUAAUAGUAAAUACUGAUAGUAAGGGCUGAUAGUAAGUACUGAUAGUAAGUACUGAUAGUAAGUACUGAUUGUAAAUACUGAUAGUAAGUGCUGAUUGAAAGAACUGAUAGUAAGUAUUGAUAGUAAGUGCUGAUUGUAAGAGCUGAUAGUAAGUA